GGAAUAUUGGACAAUGGGCGAAAGCCUGAUCCAGCCAUGCCGCGUGAGUGAAGAAGGCCUUAGGGUUGUAAAGCUCUUUCACCUGCGAAGAUGAUGACGGUACCUACAGAAGAAGCCCCGGCUCACUUCGUGCCAGCAGCCGCGGUAAUACGAAGGGGGCUAGCGUUGUUCGGAUUUACUGGGCGUAAAGCGCACGUAGGCGGUUUGUUAAGUCAGAGGUGAAAUCCCGGAGCUCAACUCCGGAACUGCCUUUGAUACUGGCAAGCUAGAGUCCGGAAGAGGUAAGUGGAACUCCUAGUGUAGAGGUGGAAUUCGUAGAUAUUAGGAAGAACACCAGUGGCGAAGGCGGCUUACUGGUCCGGAACUGACGCUGAGGUGCGAAAGCGUGGGGAGCAAAC
rnacentral:rRNA from 1 species